rnacentral:rRNA from 1 species
ACUCCUACGGGAGGCAGCAGUGGGGAAUAUUGCACAAUGGGGAAACCCUGAUGCAGCCAUGCCGCGUGUGUGAAGAAGGCCUUCGGUUGUAAAGCACUUCAGUAGGGAGGAAGGUAGUGUAGUUAACACCUGCAUUAUUUGACGUUACCUACAGAAGAAGCACCGGCUAACUCCGUGCCAGCAGCCGCGGUAAUACGGAGGGGUGCGAGCGUUAAUCGGAAUUACUGGGCGUAAAGCGCAUGCAGGCGGCUUGUUAAGUCAGAUGUGAAAGCCCGGGGGCUUAACCUCGGAAUUGCAUUUGAAACUGGCAGGCUAGAGUCUUGUAGAGGGGGUAGAAUUUCAGGUGUAGCGGUGAAAUGCGUAGAGAUCUGAAGGAAUACCAGUGGCGAAGGCGGCCCCCUGGACAAAGACUGACGCUCAGAUGCGAAAGCGUGGGGAGCAAACAGGAUUAGAUACCCUGGUAGACUGUCA